GCAAGGGAUUUUCCGCAAUGGCCGCAAGGCUGACGGAGCGACGCCGCGUGGGGGAUGACGUCUUUCGGGAUGUAAACCCCUUUUCGAGGGGAGGAGGCAGGACAGUACCCUCGGAAGAAGCCCCGGCUAACUACGUGCCAGCAGCCGCGGUAAUACGUAGGGGGCGAGCGUUGUCCGGAGUGACUGGGCGUAAAGCGCGCGCAGGCGGUGGCCCGCGCCGGUCGUGAAAGCCCUCGGCUCAACCGAGGCACGUCGACCGGGACGGGGUGACUGGAGGGUGUCAGAGGGGGGUGGAACGCCGCGUGGAGCAGUGAAAUGCGUAGAGAUGCGGCAGAACACCGGAGGCGAAGGCGGCCCCCUGGGGCACACCUGACGCUGAGGCGCGAAGGCGCGGGGAGCGAACGGGAUUAGAUACCCUGGUAGUCC
rnacentral:rRNA from 1 species